GCGGCGUGCUUAACACAUGCAAGUCGAACGGAAAGGCCUCUUCGGAGGUACUCGAGUGGCGAACGGGUGAGUAACACGUGGGUGAUCUGCCCUGCACUCUGGGAUAAGCCUGGGAAACUGGGUCUAAUACCGGAUAGGACCAUGCUUUAGUGUGUGUGGUGGAAAGUUUUUUCGGUGUAGGAUGAGCCCGCGGCCUAUCAGCUUGUUGGUGGGGUAAUGGCCUACCAAGGCGGCGACGGGUAGCCGGACUGAGAGGUUGGUCGGCCACAUUGGGACUGAGAUACGGCCCAGACUCCUACGGGAGGCAGCAGUGGGGAAUAUUGCACAAUGGGCGCAAGCCUGAUGCAGCGACGCCGCGUGGGGGAUGACGGCCUUCGGGUUGUAAACUCCUUUCGCCAGGGACGAAGCGUUUUGUGACGGUACCUGGAGAAGAAGCACCGGCUAACUACGUGCCAGCAGCCGCGGUAAUACGUAGGGUGCAAGCGUUGUCCGGAAUUACUGGGCGUAAAGAGCUCGUAGGUGGUUUGUCACGUCGUCUGUGAAAUUCCACAGCUUAACUGUGGGCGUGCAGGCGAUACGGGCUGACUUGAGUACUGUAGGGGUAACUGGAAUUCCUGGUGUAGCGGUGAAAUGCGCAGAUAUCAGGAGGAACACCGAUGGCGAAGGCAGGUUACUGGGCAGUUACUGACGCUGAGGAGCGAAAGCAUGGGUAGCAAACAGGAUUAGAUACC
rnacentral:rRNA from 1 species